GUUUCUGUAGUGUAGUGGUUAUCCUGCUCGCUUCACAUGUGAGAGGUCCCUGGCUCGAAACCCGGCAGAAACA
rfam:Rattus norvegicus chromosome 17, whole genome shotgun sequence.